UUGUAUUACGUGCGGAAAUUGUUACCAUUUUUGAGCCGAAAAUGGUAACAAUUUCCGCACGCAAAAACA
rnacentral:miRNA from 1 species